rnacentral:rRNA from 1 species
AUUGAACGCUGGCGGCAGGCCUAACACAUGCAAGUCGAGCGGAUGAAGGGAGCUUUCUCCUGGAUUCAGCGGCGGACGGGUGAGUAAUGCCUAGGAAUCUGCCUGGUAGUGGGGGAUAACGUCCGGAAACGGGCGCUAAUACCGCAUACGUCCUGAGGGAGAAAGUUGGGGUUCUUCGGACCUCACGCUUUCUGAUGAGCCUAGGUCGGAUUAGCUAGUUUGUGGGGUAAAGGCCUACCAAGGCGACGAUCCGUAACUGGUCUGAGAGGAUGAUCAGUGACACUGGAACUGAGACACGGUCCAGACUCCUACGGGAGGCAGCAGUGGGGAAUAUUGGACAAUGGGCGAAAGCCUGAUACAGCAAGGCCGCGUGUGUGAAGAAGGUCUUCGGAUUGUAAAGCACUUUAAGUUGGGAGGAAGGGAAGUAAGUUAAUACCUUGAUGUUUUGACGUUAACAACAGAAUAAGCACCGGCUAACUUCGUG